UCAUUCUGCAAUGCUUUAAGCACUAUUUUUCGAAUGAAAGCUGAAGACAAAGUCGGGGAUUCUGAGGAUCAUCUUCUUCGAAAGGAAUCUUGAUGGAAGAAUUGAUUGAUCGUCUGUUUGGACACAACAAUUGGUGUACCGAAAUAUUUUAUCAAACGCCAUCUAGCGGCGACGUGAACAACUUACAGCCAUCGACCUGCAUCUGCGAUAAGCAUAGGUGCUCCAAUAUUAUGUCUUGGUGAUUCGAAUGUUUAUUCUAAAUGUUAGGUGCUCCAUUUUGGCGUAUAUUUUGUUUUGAUGCAUAUUUUCUUUGUAACUGUUCCUGUGCUCUGUUAAUAAAUACUUUUAGAGCUG